GAAUAUUGGGCAAUGGACGGAAGUCUGACCCAGCCAUGCCGCGUGCAGGAGGAAGGCCCUCUGGGUUGUAAACUGCUUUUGUACGGGAAGAAACCUCUUGAUGCGUUGAGAGUUGACGGUACCGUAAGAAUAAGGAUCGGCUAACUACGUGCCAGCAGCCGCGGUAAUACGUAGGAUCCAAGCGUUGUCCGGAUUUAUUGGGUUUAAAGGGUGCGUAGGCGGACUAAUAAGUCAGUGGUGAAAGCCGGCCGCUUAACGGUCGAAUUGCCAUUGAUACUGUUAGUCUUGAGUACAGUUGAGGUUGGCGGAAUGUGUCAUGUAGCGGUGAAAUGCAUAGAGAUGACACAGAACACCGAUUGCGUAGGCAGCUAACUAAGCUGUUACUGACGCUGAGGCACGAAAGCGUGGGGAUCAAACAGGAUUAGAUACCCCAGUAGUC
rnacentral:rRNA from 1 species